rnacentral:tRNA from 1 species
GGAGAGAUGGCUGAGUGGUCGAAAGCGCGUGCCUGCUAAGUGCGUAUACGGAGAAAUCUGUAUCGAGGGUUCGAAUCCCUCUCUCUCCACCA